rnacentral:lncRNA from 10 species
AGGAAGACCCUGGCCUCCAUCUUGAAAACGGAAAAUAAAAACAGCAGACCUAUGAAGGUCGAAGGGGAAGAAAAGCUGUAUCGAUUGUUGAGAUCUGGCGACUUGUUUAAAUUUCAUCAGCCUCACUUCUAUGAACUCUCAGGGUCCUCGUAAGAACUUCCAUUUUAUGUUCUUGUCUUCUCAUCAGUUUGAGUUGUGUCUUUAACAUUGGAGAGAAAAACAACUUGCAAGAUUUUCUUUCAGUAUGAACCAUUCUGAGGUCCUUCAAUUCUUUAGCUGAUUACCAACUCCUACCACUGUUAACCCUCAUCCAGGAACAAGCUUAUGUCUUUAACAUUCUGAGUGGGCUUCAGCAUCCUUGCAUAUGUUCAAUUCUUAAAAACCUGUUGAAAUAAAAGAUCAGGAGACAUAGGAAGGAUGCCAGAAGAGAGCGUGGCCUCACGUGUACCAGCUCUCUGCUCUCCUUUGCCUUGGGACGUUCCAUCCCUGGAAGUUUCCCUGCCCACAUCUUUGUAGAGAGUCCAUUCUCCAAGCUUCAGUGUGUCAUCUGUGAGGACCGUGACCCACCUGGUACAUCGCCUCAGGGCAUUCAUUUCAGGCUCCUUCUAAAUGGCCAAGAGACAACACCAACAUUUUUGUAAUGGCCUGCAAGGCCUUCCGAGAUCUACCUCCUGCAACUCAGCUUCUCCUGUGCUCUCCUUCUGGACUCACUCUGCCUCAGCAACACUGGUCCCUGUUGCCCCACCAAUAUGCCAGCUGCACUGAUGAGGAAACUGAAACAGAAAAUCCAGAGUAAAUUCCACCAGGCCACACAGCAAGGUCUGAUAGAGCCAGGAGAGACUUUAUGAAAUCCAGACUCUCACACUAAUGCUCUAUCAGCUAGACCUCCAUGUGAGUCUCCCCAAUGUAGGUAGGAAGUGCUUUCCC